AUGUUGUGUGUUUCUUCACCUGCUCUGGAUAUGAUUGCACAAUAUUUCAGGUACUGGUCCCCUUUAUGUUCUUUCUCAUUGGAAUAUUUAGGAUUCUCACUUAAUCACUUUGUACUUUGGUACUUUGGUGUGUGUUAUUUUGAUUUUCCCACAGAAAUUGUCCAUGGAUAUGCAUUGUUAGGUGACAAGUUGUUGUGGGUGGUACGAUUUCCAUCUGUCUCUGAUGAAAUAGUCACUUACCAUACUGGUUCGAUCUCAACAUGCCACCCAUUUUCACAUCUCUAUCAUCGCUUGGAUUUUGUCUCCAGCACUGUUGCUUUCCGGUGGCAAGGGAGCCCUUCACUGAGCCGGUGGAGGUGUCCUUGGUGUAGGCAGGGUAAUGGAUCACCGAGUGCGAGCUGCUGUGUUGGUUCGUCAGAGAGGUGA
rnacentral:rRNA from 1 species